UAAGUGACUAAGCGUACACGGUGGAUGCCUGGGCAGUCAGAGGCGAUGAAGGACGUACUAACUUGCGAUAAGCGCAGAUGAGGCAGUAAGAGCCGUUUGAGUCUGCGAUUUCCGAAUGGGGAAACCCAACUGCAUAAGCAGUUACUGUUAACUGAAUACAUAGGUUAACAGAGCAAACCGGGGGAACUGAAACAUCUAAGUACCCCGAGGAGAAGAAAUCAACCGAGAUUCCGGUAGUAGCGGCGAGCGAACCUGGAUUAGCCCUUAAGCACUCGGUGAAGUAGGUGAACAAGCUGGAAAGCUUGGCGAUACAGGGUGAUAGCCCCGUAACCGACGCUUCAUCGAGCGUGAAAUCGAGUAGGGCGGGACACGUGAUAUCCUGUCUGAAUAUGGGGGGACCAUCCUCCAAGGCUAAAUACUCCUGACUGACCGAUAGUGAACCAGUACCGUGAGGGAAAGGCGAAAAGAACCCCUGUGAGGGGAGUGAAAUAGAACCUGAAACCGUGUACGUACAAGCAGUAGGAGCACCUUCGUGGUGUGACUGCGUACCUUUUGUAUAAUGGGUCAGCGACUUAUAUUCAGUGGCAAGGUUAACCGUAUAGGGGAGCCCUAGCGAAAGCGAGUCUUAACUGGGCGCUCAGUCUCUGGAUAUAGACCCGAAACCGGGUGAUCUAGCCAUGGGCAGGUUGAAGGUUGAGUAACAUCAACUGGAGGACCGAACCGACUAAUGUUGAAAAAUUAGCGGAUGACUUGUGGCUAGGGGUGAAAGGCCAAUCAAACUCGGAGAUAGCUGGUUCUCCCCGAAAGCUAUUUAGGUAGCGCCUCGGACGAAUACUACUGGGGGUAGAGCACUGUUAAGGCUAGGGGGUCAUCCCGACUUACCAACCCUUUGCAAACUCCGAAUACCAGUAAGUACUAUCCGGGAGACACACGGCGGGUGCUAACGUCCGUCGUGGAGAGGGAAACAACCCAGACCGCCAGCUAAGGUCCCAAAGUACUUGCUAAGUGGGAAACGAUGUGGGAAGGCUCAGACAGCUAGGAUGUUGGCUUAGAAGCAGCCAUCAUUUAAAGAAAGCGUAAUAGCUCACUAGUCGAGUCGGCCUGCGCGGAAGAUGUAACGGGGCUAAGCAAUACACCGAAGCUGCGGCAAUAUCUUUUAGAUAUUGGGUAGGGGAGCGUUCUGUAAGCCGUUGAAGGUGAAUCGUAAGGUUUGCUGGAGGUAUCAGAAGUGCGAAUGCUGACAUGAGUAACGACAAAGGGGGUGAAAAACCUCCUCGCCGGAAGACCAAGGGUUCCUGUCCAACGUUAAUCGGGGCAGGGUGAGUCGACCCCUAAGGUGAGGCCGAAAGGCGUAAUCGAUGGGAAACGGGUUAAUAUUCCCGUACUUCUGACUAUUGCGAUGGGGGGACGGAGAAGGCUAGGUGGGCCAGGCGACGGUUGUCCUGGUUCAAGUGCGUAGGCUUGAGAGUUAGGUAAAUCCGGCUCUCUCUAAGGCUGAGACACGACGUCGAGCUGCUACGGCAGUGAAGUCAUUGAUGCCAUGCUUCCAGGAAAAGCCUCUAAGCUUCAGAUAGUCAGGAAUCGUACCCCAAACCGACACAGGUGGUCGGGUAGAGAAUACCAAGGCGCUUGAGAGAACUCGGGUGAAGGAACUAGGCAAAAUGGUACCGUAACUUCGGGAGAAGGUACGCUCUUGAUGGUGAAGUCCCUCGCGGAUGGAGCUGACGAGAGUCGCAGAUACCAGGUGGCUGCAACUGUUUAUUAAAAACACAGCACUGUGCAAAAUCGCAAGAUGACGUAUACGGUGUGACGCCUGCCCGGUGCCGGAAGGUUAAUUGAUGGGGUUAGCGCAAGCGAAGCUCUUGAUCGAAGCCCCGGUAAACGGCGGCCGUAACUAUAACGGUCCUAAGGUAGCGAAAUUCCUUGUCGGGUAAGUUCCGACCUGCACGAAUGGCGUAAUGAUGGCCACGCUGUCUCCACCCGAGACUCAGUGAAAUUGAAAUCGCUGUGAAGAUGCAGUGUACCCGCGGCUAGACGGAAAGACCCCGUGAACCUUUACUACAGCUUGGCACUGAACAUUGAACCUACAUGUGUAGGAUAGGUGGGAGGCUUUGAAGACGUGACGCCAGUUGCGUUGGAGCCGUCCUUGAAAUACCACCCUUGUAUGUUUGAUGUUCUAACUUAGACCCAUUAUCUGGGUUGAGGACAGUGCCUGGUGGGUAGUUUGACUGGGGCGGUCUCCUCCCAAAGAGUAACGGAGGAGCACGAAGGUGGGCUAAUCACGGUUGGACAUCGUGAGGUUAGUGCAAUGGCAUAAGCCCGCUUAACUGCGAGAAUGACGGUUCGAGCAGGUGCGAAAGCAGGUCAUAGUGAUCCGGUGGUUCUGUAUGGAAGGGCCAUCGCUCAACGGAUAAAAGGUACUCCGGGGAUAACAGGCUGAUACCGCCCAAGAGUUCAUAUCGACGGCGGUGUUUGGCACCUCGAUGUCGGCUCAUCACAUCCUGGGGCUGAAGUCGGUCCCAAGGGUAUGGCUGUUCGCCAUUUAAAGUGGUACGCGAGCUGGGUUUAGAACGUCGUGAGACAGUUCGGUCCCUAUCUGCCGUGGGCGUUGGAAGAUUGAAGGGGGCUGCUCCUAGUACGAGAGGACCGGAGUGGACGAACCUCUGGUGUUCGGGUUGUGUCGCCAGACGCAUUGCCCGGUAGCUAAGUUCGGAAUUGAUAAGCGCUGAAAGCAUCUAAGCGCGAAGCGAGCCCUGAGAUGAGUCUUCCCUGAUACUUUAAGUAUCCUAAAGGGUUGUUCGAGACUAGAACGUUGAUAGGCAGGGUGUGUAAGCGUUGUGAGGCGUUGAGCUAACCUGUACUAAUUGCCCGUGAGGCUUAACCA
rnacentral:rRNA from 1 species